GAUGAAGAACGUAGUGAAAUGCAAUAAGUAAUGUGAAUUGCAGAAUUCAGUGAAUCAUCGAAUCUUUGAACGCACAUUGCGCCCCCUGGUAUUCCGGGGGGCAUGCCUGUCCGAGCGUCAUUACAACCCUCAAGCUCAGCUUGGUGUUGGGCCCCGCCGCCCCGGCGGGCCCUAAAGUCAGUGGCGGUGCCGUCCGGCUCCGAGCGUAGUAAUUCUUCUCGCUCUGGAGGUCCGGUCGUGUGCUCGCCAGCAACCCCCAAUUUUUUUCAGGUUGACCUCGGAUCAGGUAGGGAUACCCGCUGAACUUAAGCAUAUCAAUAAGCGGAGGA
rnacentral:misc_RNA from 1 species